rnacentral:rRNA from 1 species
UACGAAGGGGGCUAGCGUUGCUCGGAAUCACUGGGCGUAAAGCGCACGUAGGCGGAUCUUUAAGUCAGGGGUGAAAUCCCAAGGCUCAACCUUGGAACUGCCUUUGAUACUGGGGAUCUCGAGUCCGGAAGAGGUUGGUGGAACUGCGAGUGUAGAGUGAAAUUCGUAGAUAUUCGCAAGAACACCAGUGGCGAAGGCGGCCAACUGGUCCGGUACUGACGCUGAGGUGCGAAAGCGUGGGGAGCAAACAGG